rnacentral:lncRNA from 1 species
CCAAAGGAAAAUGCUUCAUGUAUUGAACAAAAUAAAGACAAUCAGUGUUUUGAAAAUGAAAGUGACAAAAAGACAAGUCAAAAUCAAGGCAAGUGCCCAGCCCAGAAUUGUUCAGUGGAAGCCCCUGCUUGGAUGCCAGUUCACCACUGUACUGUGAGUUUGAUUAUUUGAUAUUUUUGACAUAGGCCAGAUUAAAGGAGAAUUGUUUUUAUAUUUUGGAACAACCUUAGUGGAAUGAGCUAGAAUACCCUCUGAAAUUCAAGAGUAGAGCAGACCUUUUGAAAGGAGGAAGAAUGUCUUCUUAGGAACUCUGCAUUAUAAGAAAUACCUGUGAUUGGGGAGUUCAUGUAUUUCUUUUUUGGAAUCAGGAUAACUUGCUAAAGGAUUUGUCUAAAUGGGUUAUUGAUGACUUAGAAUUGGAUAGUCUUUAAAAUGAAUAUAUUUGCACAUGCAUUUUUCUUAACAGCUGCAUAUUAAGCAAUGCUUGGUUUUAGAUGCCUUAGAGAAGGAUUUUUCUCUUCUGCCAUUGUUGUGUUGACUGUUUGAUCGUGAUGAGUACACAGAUUUGCAAUUUUCAAGUCUUUCUGGUACAAUAAUAGCCUCUGCAUUUGUGUGAAAUCUUCCAUCAGAGAAUUUUCAAGUGCCUUAGAAACAAACAGGUAUGAUGCCAUUAUUCCUGUAUUGCAAACGGGAGACUUAAAUGCAAAAGGAGUAAGAAUAGUGCAUCAAUUGUAAAGCUGGGAAUAGAUUCUAGACACCCCGAUUGUCCUUUCAUGAACUUAUUCCACUGUGCUGUGCUCUGAAAUAAGUGAAGAAAGUGGCUGAUUUGUGUGAUACUCUCUUAUAUAUACACUGCCUGAAUGAAAUGACAGUGGUUCCUCUGGGAACUGUGUGUGUUGUAACUGACAGUUUGCAUGUCCUGAAAUGAUUUGUGUGUGAUGGGGACAAGAAGUUCAAAAGUUAUUUUUGGGGCAUUCUCCUCAUUUGAUCCACCUGUAGGCAGUAUAAAGUGAUCUGUGCAACUCUUUAAAUGUCCUCAUCUAUUGUUGAGGUACAAGCUUCUGAAAGGUGCAGCUACACUAUCAUAGCAUGACUUCUGACUGUGGGAUA